rnacentral:rRNA from 1 species
AUUGAACGCUGGCGGCAGGCUUAACACAUGCAAGUCGAGCGGAGAUGAGGUGCUUGCACCUUAUCUUAGCGGCGGACGGGUGAGUAAUGCUUAGGAAUCUGCCUAUUAGUGGGGGACAACAUUCCGAAAGGAAUGCUAAUACCGCAUACGUCCUACGGGAGAAAGCAGGGGAUCUUCGGACCUUGCGCUAAUAGAUGAGCCUAAGUCGGAUUAGCUAGUUGGUGGGGUAAAGGCCUACCAAGGCGACGAUCUGUAGCGGGUCUGAGAGGAUGAUCCGCCACACUGGGACUGAGACACGGCCCAGACUCCUACGGGAGGCAGCAGUGGGGAAUAUUGGACAAUGGGGGGAACCCUGAUCCAGCCAUGCCGCGUGUGUGAAGAAGGCCUUUUGGUUGUAAAGCACUUUAAGCGAGGAGGAGGCGCUCUAGGAUAAUACCCUAGAUGCGUGGACGUUACUCGCAGAAUAAGCACCGGCUAACUCUGUGCCAGCCGCCGCGGUAACAC